rnacentral:other from 1 species
ACCGGCCUGCAAAGUUGGUGCUGGCGGUUACCGUUUAUUGAACCAAUAUUCACCCAACGGGGAUUCGACUCGAAUGAACGGUCUGGUGUGCAGCUCCCCAGUCGGAGACGCCUAAAGGACCUCGGCGGAACCCCACCUGUCUCAUGACAGGUUCAUAAACGGCCCACCUCACGGCCCCGCGGGUCGGCC